UACGUAGGGGGCAAGCGUUGUUCGGAUUCAUUGGGCGUAAAGGGUGCGUAGGUGGCAUGGUAAGUCGGAUGUGAAAGCCCGGGGCCCAACCCCGGAAUUGCAUCUGAUACUGCCUCGCUAGAGUCCCGGAGAGGAAGGCAGAAUUCCCGGUGUAGGGGUGAAAUCCGUAGAUAUCGGGAGGAAUACCAGCGGCGAAGGCGGCCUUCUGGACGGUGACUGACGCUGAGACGCGAAAGCGUGGGGAGCAAACAGG
rnacentral:rRNA from 1 species